GAUGAACGCUGGCGGCGCGCUUAACACAUGCAAGUCGAACGGAAAGGCUCCUGCUUGCAGGGGUACUCGAGUGGCGAACGGGUGAGUAACACGUGGGUGAUCUGCCCUGCACUUCGGGAUAAGCUUGGGAAACUGGGUCUAAUACAGGAUAGGACCGCAUUUUGGAUGGUGUGGUGGAAAGUUUUUUCGGUGUGGGAUGAGCUCGCGGCCUAUCAGCUUGUUGGUGGGGUAAUGGCCUACCAAGGCGUCGACGGGUAGCCGGCCUGGGAGGGUGUACGGCCACAUUGGGACUGAGAUACGGCCCAGACUCCUCCGGGAGGCAGCGGUGGGGAAUAUUGCACAAUGGGCGCAAGCCUGAUGCAGCGACGCCGCGUGGGGGAUGACGGCCUUCGGGUUGUAAACUCCUUUCGCUAGGGACGAAGAGUAAUGGACGGUACCUGGAGAAGAAGCACCGGCUAACUACGU
rnacentral:rRNA from 1 species